rnacentral:rRNA from 1 species
AUGAAGACCUGUAUGAAUGGCAUAACGAGGGCUUAGCUGUCUCCUCUUUCCAGUCAAUGAAAUUGAUCUCCCCGUGCAGAAGCGGGGAUAUAACCAUAAGACGAGAAGACCCUAUGGAGCUUUAGACGUCAAAGCAGAUCAUGUUAAACACCCCCAAAUAAGGGACCAAACUAAAUGACCCCUGCUUUAAUGUC